rnacentral:lncRNA from 1 species
GGAGGCACCCGCAGCAAUACAAGCAAAACAACAUGCUUUUGCCCGGGCGGAUACGCAGCAGCCGCACUGUGCCGCGGUCGCCGAGUUAACAUUGAGGCUCAAGAUGACCAGGCACAUGAUCACCAUCAAAGCGGUAGUCCUCUUUCCCUCCAUUGCCUCCUCACAAUCUUAAAGCGGCAGUGAGUCACGUUGGUGUAACAAGCAGUACAUCUGCUGGAAGAUUGAUAUGUCUAUAGAUCUUAUUAUCUUUCCACAUACUGCACAAUGUCAAAGUAAAAUGAGAAAGGAUAACAAGCGGAUACAGAGUGAUUGGAUUUACUUGAGAAGCUUGAAGAAACAUCCAGCAACAACAGAAAAGUCAAAGUAUCAAGCGCAUGGAGCUAUAAAGCAGAUUGUAUCGGCUAGAAGAUUCAGGACGUUGAACUUACAAAAGUUCGAAGCAUGGCCAUUGCGAUAACUUUGCACGGGCAUCACGGAGAUGCCAACAUACAGGAAAGCAAAACAAUCAACAAGGGCCUCUGCUGAUCGGUCAGGUCUCAGAGUUUGAGAAACUGGAUCUGACGGAUGUGAAAUUAAUCCAUGUGGCUUCAUGCAAAUUUGUUCACAGGUUUGAACAGCAUGUAAUCUUUUUCAGGCAUAUAUAAUGGAGCGUGGGUGUGUUAUGUUAUCUUCUACUACAAAUAUAACAUCAAAUUCAUUCGAUCAGUUUGGCCGAGAGCCCAAAAUACAACGGAUAUGCCAUCCAACGGGGGAGAAAAAAAGAUGAGGAACAGUAUACUCUAUCUUCGAAAUGAGUUAUAAAGAUUCAGCUUAAAAAGAGAUAACGAGGCGUCCAAGACUCGAGGAGCCAGUCAAGAGCAGACAAGAGGCACAUGAGUGAAUGCAUCCACACCUUGGGAUGCUGCAAACUUUUAUGGGGCUAUAUAUAGCCAAGUAAACUAUUUUAUCCUGCUGCAAGCUGCAUACAUAAGUUUAUUUAACCUUUGUUCACAAUACUCUUCAUACACCAUUCACACACGUCUCAGGGAGCUGCAGCAAUGGCGGAGAUCUUAGCUGGAGUGCUCACUUCCGCUGUCGUCGCUAUUGCCAAAGACACAAGCUAGCUCACCUCUGCUAUUGCGGAGCAGGCCAAUUUGCUGUGGAACUUCGGCGACGACCUGAAGGACAUGAACUCGGUGCUGGAGUCCAUCUCAGCAGCGCUCCAGGACGCUGACACCGGUAGAAAAAUAACCUUCCAUCUUCAACAAAAAUCCCAGUAGCUUUUUUACCUGGAACUAAAGAGGUUUUAGUCCCGUACAUAUACCUUUAGUCCGGGUUGCUGUUACCAACCAGGAGUAAAGGGUCCGACGGCACCAACCGGGACUAAAGCGUCCCCCACGAGUUACUAUAUAAAAGGAUUGCAUCCUCUACUCAGUCAGAUGUACUGUGUAGGUGAGAUGGUAAGGAAGCUAUGCGCGAGGCUUGAGGUUGUGGGUUCGAAUCCCACACACCGCGCACGCACGCGCAUAUUUUGCGUGAAAAAUCGCGUGACUUGUGAUCGGCCAAGGAGAAGUGGGUGCUGUUGUGGCUUAAUCGCGUGACUUGUGAUUGGCCAAGGAGAAGUGGGUGCUGCUGUGGCUUAAGCGGCUGAGGCAUGCCACCAUAGACAUCUCGGAUUUGCUCGAAGACUACCAAGACACUAGCGAACCCUUAACGGCAAAGUUGAGUACUUAUGCAUGUCCGCAUCUAUGUUGUCCAUGCUUCUGAUGUAAUAACAAAAAGGACUACUCUUCCUAGCGGAUUCUUCAUAACCACUCGUAAAGCUAUGCGUUUCUCAAUGCAAUUUCGUAGAAGGCAAUCGAUCCAACCAAGCGACUAAAUUAUUCGUCCUUGCUAAUGAUGUGCAUCAGGUUUUCUAUAUGAAGGACAUGUCUAGCAAAUCCAAGAUUUUAGAAGAAAAAGAAAAAUCAUAAGAGUCAAAGCGCCACAUAGUUCUUUCAGGUAAAAAAACAAUCAUCCAUUGGGAUAACACACAGUAGCGAUCCAAAACGUCCAUAUUAAGACUUUUUGAUAGCAGAAAAAACAUAAAAUGUCUAAUAUUUGUAGUAUUAAAAGGAAAAAUAAUAUAUUCACUUGACCUUUUUUCCAUAGCAACGCACCGGUGCAUAGUCAGACUUAAUGCACGAUGCCUGUGCAUCCACUGAGCCUGCCCUCGUGGAUCACGCGCACCAGGACACAGCUCAUUAGCUAGUCGUGCUAAUCCUUACCACCAAAUAAAAAACUAGCAUGUGUUGUGUGUUUGUGACCCUAAACAAUCACAAAUGAAUAACGUUUGGGCUUUGCUAGCGCCUGGACGCCCGGUUCAGGAUGCUAGCAUCGGACGCACGAGCAGUCGUCCGAUCAGGUCCGACACCACUUCAGGAUCUGGCUUAAAAAGAAGUCCCACCGAAAUAUUGUUCCAUGUUGCAUGAAACAUCCCACUAUCCAUCGCUAGGUCUAGAGCAAGCACCACCUUCAAAUCUGCUGCUCACCCAAGCUAAAUAGGGGCAUUAAAAUUGCAGAAAUAUGUCGCAUAUCCUUCUCAAAUUAAACUAAAUGGCAACAUCCAAAAAUUUCUUGUACAAAACCAUGAAACAUAUCGAUUAGAUAGGUGUAACAAGAUGGAAUAUGGUAUGCAACAUAUAGAUUCCGAAAAACAGAUGAAACAUUAUGUAAUGAUUGUUGAAACAGUCGAGAAAAAUUAAGAAAAGAAGCUUUAUGCAAAUUGCAAAAAGCUGAAAUAAGUGGUUGAACAUUUCAAAUCACCAAAUGCCACAUUUGAAAUGACUAGAUGAAACAUCACGAAAUCAAUUGUAACAGUUGAAGAUGAAAACAUUCAAAUGCCUUGCCUUUCUCCAGAUUUGACCCUCCAAGCAUGAGUCCGGCCAUUUGCACAUUAGACCCUUGGGAGGAGCUCACCGGAGAAUAACAAGACCGUGUUCUCCAACAAUUUUCCAAUCAAAUUGCAACAUAAAAAACAAAGCAUUGCAACAUCUGGCGAGCUACAACAUCAACCAGUUAGUAUCAGGAGAAUGAGGGCAAACACAAGGUUAAUAAUGAGUUAUAUCCUGUUUAAACGAGGAUAAAAAUGAGUGUAUUUUCCACUCAUCAUGUUGUCUUUUCGCAGCUGUACUGCUUUUAGUGUGUUGUAUUGUUCCCCUAACACCAAGUCUCCAAGGCCCGAGAAAAUAAGGAAGGUGAUAGCAUCCCAGAAAUCGACCAAGUUUCUUUCGCCCUUUGGCUUUCCUACUAGGAUUCGGAAUCCUCUUUCGCAUGACAAUUUUAAUUAUCUCCCAUAGUCCAAAACUCACAAAAAUAUCAAAAAUCCGCCGAGAAUAAAUUAAGUAAAAAACAUGCACACACAGAUAAUAAUAAUAAUAAUCAUGUUUCAAUAAAAUUGCUAAGGCUAGAGACAAUACAUAAACAUAUUAGACUGUUCAUGACACAUAUCACGAUGGACUGUCUGUGUCCUUAUUACAAGCAGCGAGAGGAAUUAACUAUGCUUGUCACCACACACACGUGUGCACAGAUGCACGACAUACAUAUAGUUGAGACCAACGAUGGAUCAACUAGAGGUCGCCCCAUAUGGCGAACAAUUUAUUGGAGAUAAACAUUAAUAUAACUUGGCCAUAGCUUGAAGCAUAGCAACAUAUGCCUAUGAAUGGCAUUCAUGCUAUCGUUUUAGUGUUGUCCUCCUUCCGUCGUAGCAGCAACUGUCAAAUUGAGAUAUGGAAAUCCCAUUAGCGCAUGAGUUAAUUUUGCAGUGGAAAUAGAGUACAAGAUGUCUUCAUGAUGUAAGUAAUAUGCCUGAAGUUGUGAGAUGGGAAGUGAGGUCAACAAAUUACUUUAACAGAAAUGCAUGGAAGGCCACACAUACGUAUUGGUCCACGAUAUGCUACAAAGCUUGUAUGUACAUAUAACAAAUUAAAUGCAUUGAAUAGAGUGAGUUUAGUGAAUUUACCAGGAUCGGACGGAAGACAAUCCGGGAGACAGGCGCUCUCGCAGAAUAUGUCGGGGGCACCCGUAGAAGUACAAGUAGAACAAAGUUGUUUUGCCUGAUCGGAUUUGCAGCAGUCGCACUGUGCCGCGGUGGCCGGGUUAACAUUGAGGCUCAAGAUGACCAGGCACAUGAUCACCAUCAAAGCGGUAGUCCUCUUUCCCUCCAUUGCCUCCUGUUGCUGCUACCUUCCUUGGUUACCUAGCUAAGUUUAUUGGUUUUGUGUUGAGAGGUGAUUCUUGAAUGGACGUUGCCGGCUGCAAUUUAUAGGCAGCUGCGCUAUGUGAUGAUAUGGACAAGGUGCAAAUGGAUGCUUGACAUUCGCAUCAAACAAAGCCCAAUGGCAACUGCUGACACGCGAUUAGUUUCAGAUCCACAUCCAGCCAUUGACUUGUAAUUAAACUAAGCCCACGCGGUCCGCGAGAUGCAGCGUCCAUUAGCACUUCCCGCCAAACAAUAGGAAAGGGGGUAUUCUGCUUGACAUUGGCAUCAGAAAAAGCCCAAUGCCAACUGCUGACACGCGAUUAAUUUCAGAUCCACAUCCAGCUAUUGACUUGUAAUUAAACUAAGCCCACGCGGUGCGCGAGAUGCAGCGUCCAUAGCACAAUAGGCAAAAUUAGAAUUCAGAGAUAGUAGCGUGGGACAUUUAAUUCCUGCGCGAGCGCGGACGACGGUGCCAGCAGCUGCUAGCAUGAAACACGGUUACAGAAUUUGAAAAUAAUACAUAAUUAAAAACUAAUACAUAAUUUGACACGGUGUACCUCGAGAACGUUUUGAAAAUGUACUCUCGUUAGGCGUUCACCUCCUUAACAAUAACUGCGACUGUAAAAUAGGUACAUCGACGCUAGCUAAAUAAACCACUAUAAGAUUUAGCAAGAGAUCAUUUUAUACAAUUCUGUAACGAAAGAAUUUGACAAUUAUAGUGUCCAUAUAUUUUGACAAAAACGUCUAAAUUAUAUAAGGAGGUGGGCCCGAAACAGUUGGAUUAGCAUAUGGUUACCCGUUUGUUGUCUUCCGGCCCUAAAAAAAGGGACCAUCUUACUGAAAAAGGUUCUAUUAGGCCAUGCAGCCGCUCUGUGGUACCAAAAAGAAAUUUUUGACACGGUUUACAUCGAGAACAUUUUGAAAAUAGACUUUGGUACGCAGUUCACCUGCUUAACAAUAACGGCGUACAUAUACGCUAUCUAAAUUAACCACUUUAAGAUUUAGCGAGAGAUCUAUUUUUUUAAUCCCGUAUAAUCGCGUAGCGACUGUAAGAAGAACUGAAAAAUAAGUUUGAUUACCAUAACUCGUUAAUGGAAUAAACGAUAGAGAUUUCAGCGAGGCAGACUAGCCUUUCACACAGCAGCUCUGCACGCACCAACUGAGCUAGUUGGCAUGAUGUAUUUGAUCUUACUCCCUUGGUACCGUGGAAAGGGAGAAAUAACCAUAUAUAGGCAUGUAAUUAUCAGUUAUACUUAUGGGAUACUUAGAUGACUUGAUGUAUGAAUCAAGAAAAUGCAUCCAUCGAGAACUUACGGGGACCAUCUCAAUAAGACCAUGCGCAUGUUGGGGGUGUGCUUUAGGUGGAAUAAGGCUAGAAAUCCCCGUGUAGAAGAGGCCCGAAAAGGGUGCUAAAGGCCUGAUUGUAAGGAUUAGAGACUUAUUUGUGGCGUUCAAGGACCUCAUUGUCAUAGUUUAGGGACCUCAUUGUAAUACUAAACCCCACUAAUAGAAUCAAUGUAAACAGCCUCCUUCUCCUCCACCCUAUAAAAGGAACGCAAGGGGAGUGAGAAGGGACACUUGGCCAUUUUGCUCAUUUUGAUCACUCGGCUCACCUGGUUCUAUCUCUCUCAUUGUUCCGAAGCUAAGAAAGAAUGUUGCUCGUUCUGUGUUGUGGUCUAGCUUCUCCAGAGAUCAGACCCCAACAUUUGGCGCCCACCGUGUUUCGGCAUGAAAUAAAAUUCACGAACACCAUAAGAAACUAAGAGAUUAUAACCGAUUGAAGCGAAACUGUCAGUCCACUUUGUGUUUUGCCCGAAGCUACCCAGAGUGACACGACGUCACCCAGCAGCAUCAAAAUACUGAGCAACUCAAGUCGGCAGCCCGAAGCUGUAAGCUCUCGCGACGUGCCAGCGUCACGAAAUUGUUAACCUCGAGUUCCAAGCCAUCGACUGAAGUUGAACUCUAUCGAAGCUAGGCACAUGCAUGCAGGCAGGCACACAUGCAAGCACGCAUACCAGCGUCCCGAAGUUGCGUCACGAAGCCAGGCACGCAUGCAAGCACACCAAGAGUACUGCUACACUGCUUGUUCUUAUCCUGACACAGACCAAAGGUCGAGCUCCCUCGUUCGUGCCCGAAGCAGUUAGCUAUCCCGAAGCUGUUAACCUCGAGCUCUGACGACAAGUGCGCGCCUGGCUGUCGGUGGCGUCCCUUGCCUCGCAGCGCACCGGAAAGAGAGACGACAAGUGGAUCCCCGGCCCUACGAGGCACUGAAACUGAGAGCAGCAUCGGACAUGGUGGUCGUACGGGUCGAUCUGGAUUGUUCAUCCCUGCGCCAUGCAUCGAUCAGCGUUCUGGGUACUGUUUGGCAUCAUCGGCCGAUCAUGGCUGCGGUGAUCCUAUCCUCUCCUGCGAUGCGAGAGAGAGAUGUCUGCUGCUGCCUGCAGCGUCCGGUCGAGCUCCCUCGUUCGUGCCCAACCCAACAAGUUCUCCAGCGGAGCUCCGAGCCAUUAGCCAAAGUUGCUAACUCUAGCAAAGCUAUUAUUCCUCACAAGGUUGCAGGCUGCUGGUAGAGCGAAGCUGUUACGGCAGCACUACUCGAAGCUGUGCGGAACCUCUCAACUCAUGUUUCAUCCGUAACCUCCGGUGCCCGGACUGACUUCUCCUGUCGCUGCUAGACGUGUUCUCGACUGCUUGCUGCAGCAAUGGAUGCCGAAGAUGCAGAACCUCCGCAAGUCAAGUUGUUCCCGGAAGCUCCGCGAGCCAAGCUGCGGAAGGAACCUCGAAGGCCCGGCUGCGCACGAAACAAGCACAGAGCUACGGGCUGCAGCCUCCACCGGUGAACCAUAUAAGUAACCUCGAACUAGGUUUUUGUUUCACAAAGUUUAAAUUACUAACGAGCUUUCUCUAAGUACUUUACCAUGUGCAACAUCAACAUGCAUGCGCCUCUUACUUGACUUAUGCACUACGCGAUAAAAAAUUGUUGAAGCCUCAAAGUUGCCCGUAGAACCUCGUGAUGGUUUCUCUUAACCUCGCCGUACUACCAAAUUAAUAGCAGGCUUCUGAUUAUAAUUAUGUUGCCACUAGCAUGGCCGGCGAAGCUAAAACCCAUCCUCCCAGCUUGAAACAAGUCAGCGAGGCUGCAAAACACUAGAGCAUCGAUGUCUUUCAACUUAGCCUCGGUAAAAAAAAAACUCUAAUCAGACUCCAACUCAGCAAGGGUGCAAAACACCAGAGCAACCAAGCUUUUGCAAGUACCGAAGCUGCUAGCAGGUAGGCAAGCUCUAACCUUGGUGACGAGCGCCAACCUCGAUGAAAAUUCCUAUAGCAAGCUAAAGUGAAUGCUCGCGUCGCCCAGUAGUCAGGUGAAGUACCGUGUCGGUUUCAACUCUAACUGUGAAGCUAGUAAUUCUAUUUCAUCCAGCUGUCUUUUACCCAAGGCCCGUAGCUGUAACAAGCCCCUGUUCACGGACGUGAUAUCCGCCGCUCGUCACCAGCGCACAACAACAAUGCAAAGCUGUCGGAUUUCGAAGCUGAGGACAACUACAGCAUCGAAUUAGCUCACCCUCUUAACCUCGCAAAGCUGCUGAACGACGACGAGGCAACAGAGCAAACCUUUCUACCACACCUCGCCUGCAAGACUUUUCGCCACGCGAAGCUACUAGCGAAGGAAGCUCCGUGACGUCACCAGCCACUAGCAAGGGAAGCCCCACAAGGUUACCAGCUAGUACCCAGGGAAGCCCCACGAGGUCACCAGCCUGCAAGCUCCCAAGGUUACAAGCAAACUUUUUUACCCGCCUUGCCUGCAAACCUUCUUGCCACGCGAAGCUACCGCUCCAAGGACGCUCCCGAAGUUACCAGUCCCGCCUGCAAGCAACCGCACGACACGGACGCAGCUGUAGCCCGAGUACCCGAAGCUGUUAGGCUCUCCCGAAGUUGUCAACCUCGAGUUCCAGGCGCAUGCACAACCUCGUGGUAAAAAAAAAAAAAAAAACUAAGCACGCAUGCCAGCAUGCUCGAGGUCAGGCGACGGUCCUACCUUUGCAAGCAACGAAGGCAACGCAUGCGACGGUCCCACCUUCGCAAGCAACCGCAUGGCACCACACAGGCCCUACCUUCGCAAGCAACAGAAGGCAACGCAUGCAUGCAACAAGCAAAGCAUGCAUGCAGGCACAUGCAUGUGCAACCAAAUGGAAGCAGCCAGCCA